UCGGGAAUUUUGCUCAAUGGGGGAAACCCUGAAGCAGCAACGCCGCGUGAGGGAUGAAGGCCUUCGGGUUGUAAACCUCUUUUGUCAGGGACGAUGAUGACGGUACCUGGCGAAUAAGCCACGGCUAACUACGUGCCAGCAGCCGCGGUAAUACGUAGGUGGCAAGCGUUGUCCGGAUUUACUGGGCGUAAAGAGCGCGCAGGCGGUCGGAUAAGUCGAGUGUGAAAGCCCCUGGCUCAACCAGGGAGGGUCACUCGAUACUGUUCGACUCGAAGGCAGGAGAGGGAAGUGGAAUUCCGGGUGUAGUGGUGAAAUGCGUAGAUAUCCGGAGGAACACCAGUGGCGAAGGCGACUUUCUGGCCUGUUCUUGACGCUGAGGCGCGAAAGCUAGGGGAGCAAACGGG
rnacentral:rRNA from 1 species